rnacentral:rRNA from 1 species
CACGUAGGGGGCGAGCGUUGUCCGGAAUUACUGGGCGUAAAGGGCGCGCAGGCUGUUAUGCGAGUCUGCUGUGAAAUGUACCGGCUCAACCGGUGCCUUGCGGCGGAUACUGCAUAGCUGGAGUACUGGAGAGGGAAGUGGAAUUCCCGGUGUAGCGGUGAAAUGCGCAGAUAUCAGGAGGAACACCAAUGGCGAAGGCAGGUCUCUGGGCAGUUACUGACGCUGAGGAGCGAAAGCAUGGGUAGCGAACA